CCUACGGAUGGCAGCAGUGAGGAAUAUUGGUCAAUGGGCGCUAGUCUGAACCAGCCAAGUAGCGUGAAGGAUGACUGCCCUAUGGGUUGUAAACUUCUUUUAUAUGGGAAUAAAGCGUAGUAUGUAUGGUGCUUUGUAUGUACCAUAUGAAUAAGGAUCGGCUAACUCCGUGCCAGCAGCCGCGGUAAUACGGAGGAUCCGAGCGUUAUCCGGAUUUAUUGGGUUUAAAGGGAGCGUAGGCGGGUUGUUAAGUCAGUUGUGAAAGUUUGCGGCUCAACCGUAAAAUUGCAGUUGAUACUGGCAUCCUUGAGUACAGUAGAGGUAGGCGGAAUUCGUGGUGUAGCGGUGAAAUGCUUAGAUAUCACGAAGAACUCCGAUUGCGAAGGCAGCCUGCUGGACUGUAACUGACGCUGAUGCUCGAAAGUGUGGGUAUCAAACAGGAUUAGAUACCCCUGUAGUC
rnacentral:rRNA from 1 species